UUCGCCCUACGGGGGGCAGCAGUGGGGAAUAUUGCACAAUGGGGGAAACCCUGAUGCAGCAACGCCGCGUGAGUGAAGAAGGUUUUCGGAUUGUAAAGCUCUGUUAGCAGGGAAGAGGAAGGACGGUACCUGCAGAGGAAGCAUCGGCUAACUCCGUGCCAGCAGCCGCGGUAAUACGGAGGAUGCGAGCGUUAUCCGGAUUUAUUGGGUUUAAAGGGUGCGCAGGCGGAAUGUCAAGUCAGCGGUAAAAUUUCGGGGCUCAACCCCGUCGUGCAGUUGAAACUGGCGUUCUUGAGUGAGCGAGA
rnacentral:rRNA from 1 species